CAGAGGAUAGUUUAAAUUAAAACACAGGUUUUGGGUAUCUAAAAUCGGGAGCUUACCCCGUCCUCUGA
rnacentral:tRNA from 1 species